rnacentral:tRNA from 2 species
GCGCCAGUAGCUCAGCUGGAUAGAGCGUCGGCCUCCGGAGCCGAAGAUCGCAGGUUCGAAUCCUGCCUGGCGUA